UACGUAGGGUGCGAGCGUUGUCCGGAAUUACUGGGCGUAAAGAGUUCGUAGGCGGUUUGUCGCGUCGUUCGUGAAAACUUGGGGCUUAACUCCAAGCGUGCGGGCGAUACGGUCAGACUUGAGUACUACAGGGGAGACUGGAAUUCCUGGUGUAGCGGUGAAAUGCGCAGAUAUCAGGAGGAACACCGGUGGCGAAGGCGGGUCUCUGGGUAGUAACUGACGCUGAGGCACGAAAGCGUGGGGAGCGAACGGG
rnacentral:rRNA from 1 species